CCUGAACGUAAUGGAGGGACAGAGGAGCUUCUGAGUGGAUCCAAGAGAUUCAAAUCCAAUUUGGCUGGACCUUCAACCAGUGAAAAUGGAAACUGAUAUACUAUGUGGUCCUUCUUGGUGACCAAAGGAUGCCACUGCUCUUCUGCUGCAAGAGAAAGGAAGACGAAGAAAGAAAACACGUGACUCACUGACUUGCUUCAAGCUGCUAUCUGCUAUUUCCCUGCCUGGUACAGAUGUCCAGGGUGUCUGUGAGCUAACCUUAUCCACUGGUUUAGAUGCCCAGCGUGUCUGUGAGCUAACCUUACACACUCAUAAUAAUCCUGCCUGGCUAGUUCUACAAGGUUGUCUACUAUCACAACACCAUCAGUUCUUAGCAAAGUAUUCUCUCUCUCUCUCUCCCUCUCUCUCUCUCUCUCUCUCUUCCAUUCCUUCCCUCCCUCCCUUUCUCCCUCUUUCUUUUUUCUUUCCUUCUUUCUUCUUUCUCUCUCUCUCCUCCUUCCUUCCUCUCCCUACCUCUUUC
rnacentral:lncRNA from 1 species